CAGGAUUCCCUUAGUAACGGCGAGUGAACAGGGAAGAGCCCAGCACCGAAGCCUGUGGCUGUUUGGUCACUAGGCAAUGUGGUGUUCAGGUUAUCUCGCAGUGGUACUGCUUCACCCUAAGUCCAGAAAUGAGUACGGCAAUGGACAUGGCCCAGGGAGGGUGAAAGGCCCGUGGGGGUGAAGACUCAGUUUGGACAGUAUCACUAUGAGUAUACCUUGGAGUCGGGUUGUUUGUGAAUGCAGCCCAAAGUGGGUGGUAAACUCCAUCCAAGGCUAAAUACUUACACGAGUCCGAUAGCGAACAAGUACCGUGAGGGAAAGUUGAAAAGUACUUUGAAGAGAGAGUAAACAGUGCGUGAAACCGCUCAGAGGUAAACAGGUGGAGUUGAACUGCAAGCAUUGAGAAUUCAGCUGGUGAAUGUGUUAUGAGCUUGGGCAUAUUGGUUGGCCUUCGAGGUCUGCUUAGCUGCAGGUCUUCGCCUUUUGGUGAAGAUUCGCGAUACACUUAUCAAGUGUUGUGAGCCUUGUUGGUUAUCGAGCCUGUUCGCCAGUGCAUUUUCUCAUUGUGGUCACCACGACCGGCGCUGCUGUCUAACUGAUGGUCUUAAACAACAGGUUGUUUCAACCACAAAAAUGUUGGCAGGUUGCUCGUUGGUUUACGUGCGAGUCUCGGCUUGUGCGUGCAUAGCUUUCGAGUAUUGACAGCUGACCUUAUUGGUUAUGUGCAGUGCGUCGGAGACGGCGGCUACUGGUGUGUGCAUGCGUGCUUAGUCUUUCAGCGAGUCUGAGUCUGGCUACACGUUGCCUGUAUUUGCAGGCCUUGUGGCGGCUCGUGUUCGUCUGUUGGGCGGCUGCGCGUGUGUUACCGAAUCAGGGCCUAUAGUCUGUGGUGUAGUGGUAGACUAUCCACCUGACCCGUCUUGAAACACGGACCAAGGAGAGUAACAUGUGCGCGAGUCAUUGGGCGUUACGAAACCCAAAGGCGCAGUGAAAGUAAAUGUCUGACUUGUUCGGAUUAUGGUGAGAUCCUGUCGUUUCUCAUGCAUGGUACCACCAAGCUGCGAGCGGCAGGCGCAUCACCGGCCCGUCUCAUAACGUAAAUGUGAUUCUUCGAUCGUAUGUCGUUGGGGCGGAGCAUGAGCGCACAUGUUGAGACCCGAAAGAUGGUGAACUAUGCUUGCGCAGGUUGAAGCCAGAGGAAACUCUGGUGGAGGACCGCAGCGAUUCUGACGUGCAAAUCGAUCGUCAAACGUGAGUAUAGGGGCGAAAGACUAAUCGAACCAUCUAGUAGCUGGUUCCCUCCGAAGUUUCCCUCAGGAUAGCUGGCAUUCGGGAAACAAAACAGUUUUAUCCGGUAAAGCGAAUGAUUAGAGGCAUUGGGGACGAAACGUCUUCAACCUAUUCUCAAACUUUAAAUGGGUGAGAAGCUUAACUCGCUUAAACGGAGUUAGGCAUUGAAUGUGAGUGCCAAGUGGGCCAUUUUUGGUAAGCAGAACUGGCGCUGUGGGAUGAACCAAACGUUCGGUUAAGGUGCCUAACACUACGCUCAUCAGAUACCACAAAAGGUGUUGGUUGGUCUAGACAGCAGGACGGUGGCCAUGGAA
rnacentral:rRNA from 1 species